rnacentral:rRNA from 1 species
UACGUAGGGUGCAAGCGUUGUCCGGAAUUAUUGGGCGUAAAGAGCUCGUAGGCGGUUUGUCGCGUCUGCUGUGAAAUCCCAGGGCUUAACCCUGGGCCUGCAGUGGGUACGGGCAAACUAGAGUGCGGUAGGGGAGAUCGGAAUUCCUGGUGUAGCGGUGAAAUGCGCAGAUAUCAGGAAGAACACCCGUGGCGAAAGCGGCUCUCUGGAACGGUACUGACGCUGAGACGCGAAAGCGUGGGGAGCGAACAGG